rnacentral:rRNA from 1 species
AGAGAAGUAGGGGCCGGGUAAGACGGGUGCCAGCCGCCGCGGUAAUACCCGCGGCUCGAGUGGUGGUCGAUAUUAUUGAGCCUAAAACGUUCGUAGCCGGUCUUGUAAAUCCUUGGGUAAAUCGGCCAGCUUAACUGUCCGAAGUCCGGGGAGACUGCAAGACUUGGGAUCGGGAGAGGUCAGAGGUACUUCUGGGGUAGGGGUAAAAUCCUGUAAUCCUAGAAGGACCACCGGUGGCGAAGGCGUCUGACUAGAACGAAUUCGACGGUGAGGAACGAAGCCCUGGGGCGCAAACGGGAUUAGAUACCCCGGUAGUCCAGGGUGUAAACGCUGCGGGCUUGGUGUUGGGGGUCCUUAGUGGGCGCCCAGUGCCGGAGAGAAGUUGUUAAGCCUGCUGCUUGGGGAGUACGUCCGCAAGGAUGAAACUUAAAGGAAUUGGCGGGGGAGCACCGCAACGGGAGGAGCGUGCGGUUCAAUUGGAUUCAACGCCGGACAACUCACCAGGAGCGACGAUUACAUGAAGGCCAGGCUGAUGACCUUGCCUGAUUUUUCGAGAGGUGGUGCAUGGCCGUCGUCAGUUCGUACUGUGAAGCAU